GUCAGGAUAGCUCAGCCGGUAGAGCAGAGGACU
rnacentral:tRNA from 2 species